ACCCGGAUGGCGAAAUCGGUAGACGCAAGGGACUUAAAAUCCCUCGGGGGUAACCCCGUGCCGGUUCGACCCCGGCUCCGGGCACCA
rnacentral:tRNA from 1 species